rnacentral:rRNA from 1 species
UACAUAAGAGACUAGUGUUAAUCAUCAUAAAUAGGUUUAAAGGGUACUCAGACGGUAAAAUUCACCUUAAAAUGGUAUAAAUUUUUCUAGAGUUUUAUGAAAGGAGAUCGUAUUCUAGAGUGGAGAGAUAAAAUUUGUUGAUACCUAGAGGACUGGUUAAGGCGAAGGCAAUCUUUUAUGUAAAACUGACGUCGAAGGACGAAGGCUUAGGUAACGAAUAGG